GACGAACGCUGGCGGCGUGCUUAACACAUGCAAGUCGAACGGAAAGGCCCUGCUUUUGUGGGGUGCUCGAGUGGCGAACGGGUGAGUAACACGUGAGUAACCUGCCCUUGACUUUGGGAUAACUUCAGGAAACUGGGGCUAAUACCGGAUAGGAGCUCCUGCUGCAUGGUGGGGGUUGGAAAGUUUCGGCGGUUGGGGAUGGACUCGCGGCUUAUCAGCUUGUUGGUGGGGUAGUGGCUUACCAAGGCUUUGACGGGUAGCCGGCCUGAGAGGGUGACCGGCCACAUUGGGACUGAGAUACGGCCGAGACUCCGCCGGGAGGCAGCAGUGGGGAAUAUUGAACAAUGGGCGGAAGCCUGAUGCAGCAACGCCGCGUGCGGGAUGACGGCCUUCGGGUUGUAAACCGCUUUCGCCUGUGACGAAGCGUGAGUGACGGUAAUGGGUAAAGAAGCACCGGCUAACUACGUG
rnacentral:rRNA from 1 species